UGUUGUUCAACUUGCUUUACUUUCUUCAAUAUGAGACUUUAUUUGUCAUGACAAAAACUUGUAUCUUUUACUAUAGAUCUAAGGAGUUAAAGUGAAAAGUAAUAGGAAGAAUUGAGUCCAAGCUCAAAAGUCGAAACAAAAACAAGUCUCAUUAUCGAAUCAGGUAGACUACAAAGAGUCUAAUAAUUUACAAUGAACUUGUAAAUGUAAAAUUUUAAGACCAAACAAAGGUGAACUUUUACACAUUUUGACAAGCCUUUUCUCUCAUGAUUGAAAGCGGCAACUCUAUAUCAUAUUCUAGGUACUACUACCAAUGGUAAACUUCAGAAAAUUUGGGGAACCCAAACUAAAUACAAGAGUCCAUAUUAUAGAUAAUAGAUAGAGAUUAAAUUUCACCUAGAAUUAUAGCUGCUGGAAAUUAGCAAUUGAACACAAUCUGUUGGAAAGAAGCUUAAUGAAGCACUCACUGGUGGCCAAAUUUUUAAUGCUCCAAACAUUUGAUCUUUUCAAGAUUGCUAUUCAUGCGAUUAAUAUCCGUGGGUGAGAGUCGAUCACCAACCAUAAGUUUGAACUGCUCAAACUUCGAUUCCUCACACCUCAAGGCGGCAAUUUUACAAGCCUUUAUACUUCCUNNNNNNNNNNNNNNNNNNNNNNNNNNNNNNNNNNNNNNNNNNNNNNNNNNNNNNNNNNNNNNNNNNNNNNNNNNNNNNNNNNNNNNNNNNNNNNNNNNNNUCCUAAUCCUCAUCCUAAUCCUAAACCUAAUCCUAAUCCUCAUCCCAAUCCUCAUCCAAAUCUUAGUCCUAAUCCUAAUCCUCAUCCUCAUCCUAAUCCUUCUCCUCAUCCUCAUCCUCAACCUCAUCCUCAUCCUCAUCCUCAUCCAAAUCUUAAACCUAAUCCUCAUCCUCAUCCAUAUCUUCAUCUUCAUCCUCAUCCUUAUCCUCAUCCUAAUCGUCAUCCUAAUACUAAUCCUAAUCCAAACUUAACCCUAAUCCUAAUCCUCAUCCUUAGCCAUAUCCUAAUCCUAAACCUCAAUCUAAUCCUCAUCCUAAUCCUCAUCCUAAUCCACAACAUCAUCCUUAUCCUAAUCCUAAUUCUAAUUCUAAUCCUAAUCCUAAUCCUAAUCCUACCCCUAAUCCUCAUUUUCAUCCUAAUCCUAAUCCUAUUCCUAAUUCUAGUCCUAAUCAUAAUCCUAAUCCUAUACCUAAUCAAUGUCCUAAUCGUAAUCCUAAUCCUGAUCCUAAUCCUAAUCCUUUUCCUACACCUAAACCUAAUACUAAUCCUAAAACUCACCCUCAUCCUCAUCCUUAUCCUCAUCCUGAUCCUCUUCCUCAUCCUCAUCCCCAUCCUCAUCCUCAACCUCAUGCUCAUCCUCAUCCUCGUCCUCCUCCUCAUCCUCAUCCUCCUCCUCAUCCUCAUCCUCAUCCUCAUCCUCCUCCUCCUCCUCAUCCUCAUCCUCAUCCUCAUCCUCAUCCUCAUCCUCAUCCUCAUCCUCAUCCUCAUCCUCAUCCUCAUCCUCAUCCNNNNNNNNNNNNNNNNNNNNNNNNNNNNNNNNNNNNNNNNNNNNNNNNNNNNNNNNNNNNNNNNNNNNNNNNNNNNNNNNNNNNNNNNNNNNNNNNNNNNGUUUCAAACCAGCAUAACGGCGUUCUGCAUUUCUUGCCGUACAAAGCUUCAUACGGUGCCAUACCGAUACUUGAAUGAAAGUUGUUAUUGUAGGUGAACUUGAUCAAAUGCAAAUGAUCAACCCAACUCCCUGGGUUAUCUAACACACAUGCUCUAAGGAGAUCCUUAAAUGAUUGGAUCGUCCUUUUUGAUUGACCAUCGGUCUGCGGGUGAUAAGCUGAACUCAUGCUCAACUUAGUCCCCAAAGCUGAUUGCAAACCAUUCCAGAACUUGGAAGUGAAGCGCGGAUCUCUAUCUGAGAUGAUAUUUUUGGGAAUACCGUGCAAUCAGACAAUCUAUUUAAUGUAAAACUCCGCCAAUCUCUCCAAAGAGUACUUCAUGUUGAUAGGCAGAAAGUGAGCUGUCUUGGUCAAACGGUCCACAAUUACCCAAACAGCAUCGUAACCCUUCUGAGUCUUCGGAAAUCCACUCACGAAGUCCAUCGAAAUGNAAUGCUGUCCCAUUUCCAAACCGGAAUAUCUAAUGGUUGUAGUUCUCCACCAGGUUGCUUGUGUUCAAUCUUCGCUUUCUGGCAUGUCAAGCAACGGGAAACAUACUCGGCUACCUCUUUCUUCAUCCCUGACCACCAGAACAUUUUCUUCAAAUCUUGAUACAUCUUGGUAGUUCACGGGUGAAUACUCAACUUGCUCCGGUGUGCUUCGUCCAAGAUUGCCAUCCUCAAAUCAGGGUCUCUUGGCACGCAAAUUCUGUUUUUGCACUUGAGUACCCCAUCAAUCCCAAUAUGAAAUUCUGGGGCUUUUCCUUCAACCAACAGGCUUUUCUUCUCUUGUAGUUCUGGGUCUGAAUCUUGUAAACCUUUCAAUUGCUUCAUGAACUCAUUCGUUACGGUGAGCAUGCCACAAACCAAACUCUUAGGUCCAACUUGAACCGCUAGAUUUAAGUCUCUGAAUUCUUCUAUCAGCUUCAUCUCGCUAACCAUCAUCGUCGAGAUAUUCAAAGACUUCCUGCUUAAUGCGUCAGCUACCACAUUUGCUUUUCCAGGGUGGUACUAAAGAUCGAAAUCAUAAUCCUUGAGGAAUUCUGUCCAUCUCCUUUGCCUCAUAUUCAAUUCCUUCUGAUCAAAUAAAUACUUUAAGCUCUUAUGAUCGCUGAAAACCUCAAACCUUACACUGUACAGAUGGUGUCUCCAGAUCUUGAGGGCAAACACGAUUGCAGCUAAUUCCAGAUCGUGCAUUGGAUAGUUCUGUUCAUGAUUCUUUAACUGUCUUGACGCGUAAGUCACCACUUUCCUUUGUUGCAUCAACACACAACCUAAUCCUUGCUUCGACGCGUCACAAUACACAUCGUAGUUCACGCUGGGAUUUGGCAGAAUCAAAACAGGUGCUGUAGUCAACCUCUUCUUCAAUUCCUGAAAAUUCUCUUCGCACUUGGCCGUCCAGAUAAACGCCUUAUCUUUCCUUGUCAGCAUAGUCAGUGGCAGCGCCAGUUUGGAGAAUCCUUCAAUGAACUUCCGAUAAUAGCCCGCCAAACCAAGGAAACUCCUGAUCUCCGUCACAGACUUUGGAGAAUUCCAGUCCAUUACAGUCUCCACCUUUGCAGGAUCCACUGCAAUUCCUCCCUUCGAGAUCACAUGACCGAGAAAAUUUACAGACUCUAGCCAAAACUCACAUUUCGAAAGUUUGGCAUAAAGCUUGUUGUCUUUCAAUAUCUGCAGCACCACUCGCAGAUGCUCCGCAUGUUCUUCUGCAGUCUUUGAGUAAAUUAGAAUAUCAUCGAUAAAUACGACCACAAAUGUGUCGAGAUAAGGAUGAAAAAUUCUGUUCAUGUAAUCCAUGAAUACUGCAGGAGCAUUGGUUACACAAAAUGGCAUCACGAGAUAUUCAUAAUGACCAUAACGCGUCCGAAAAGCAGUUUUCGGGACAUCCUCCGACUUCACGCGUAUUUGGUGAUAUCCAGAUCUCAGAUCGAUCUUAGAAAACACUGUAGCUCCUCUUAGUUGGUCCAUCAAAUCAUCAAUCCUCGGCAAUGGAUACUUGUUCUUGAUAGUGACCUUAUUCAGCUGCCGGUAAUCGGUGCACAACCUCAUGCUACCAUCCUUUUUCUUGACAAACAACACUGGUGCACCCCACGGCGAAACGCUAGGUCUGACAAAUUGCUUCUGCAGCAGGUCUUCCAACUGCUUCUUCAACUCCGUUAGCUCCAACGGUGCCAUCCUAUAAGGAGCGAUAGAGAUCGGUCCAGUUCCAGGAACUAGAUCGAUAGCAAACUCUAUCUCUCUUACUGGAGGUAAUCCAGGAAUGUCUUCCGGAAAUACCUCGGAGAAGUCUCGGACUAUAGGUAAGCUUUGAAUAUCUGCUCUACCUUCCUUUUCCAACGAAGCCAACAUCAUAACUAACUGGGAUAAGGGUAGACAUAUCAGGUCCACCAAAAAUACUCGACUUUCUAAAGUUAUCGGACAUUGGGAACACACAGUUGACACAAUGACCGGUUCCCUAGUGGGUGUGGAUACAAGCAAAUCAUAAGGUAACGCCACAAUAGGUAAAGCUAAACGGUUGACAACAUCAAUAGCAAUAAAGGAAUGGGUCGCACCCGAAUCAAACAGUACAGAUAAAGGAAUCUCUUUAACGUUGCAGGUACCUUGAAUGAGAUCUUCGUUAGCCCCGAUCUCUGCCCCGCUCAUCGUGAACACUCUGCCCUGAGCCCUGGGUCGUGCUGCCUGCACUGAGUUCAUUGCUUCCCUCUUUAGCUUUGGGCAUGAAGUCUUAUAGUGCCCUACCUCAUUGCAAUGAAAACAGGUCACACAGGUGUUACCAACGUGCCUUCCCUUGCACCUGGGACACACGGGUGUCGCAGACUGAUUGUAGUUCCCAACAGACGAACUCAUCCGACUAUUGUGGUUGUUGUUGCGGCUGUUGUUGUUGUUAUUAUUGUUGUGGUUGUUGUUUCCUGGUCUGAAGCCUCUGUUGUUGUAAGGUUGAAAGCUCCUCUGAUGACUUCCUGAAGAAGACGCAACAGACCUUUGAUUGCGGUUGAAGGGUCUUGCCCUUCCAAACCCCUGUCCACCACUCCUCUGUGGACCGACUAGUGUUGGAGGCGAUACCACACUUCUCAGUGUCGCAUUCCUCGCUCUGACGCUCUCUUCGUAGAGCCUGCACUUGUUGACCAGAGUUGCAAAGUCUGGUAUCUGUUGGUGAACAAACAUCACCUUCAGGUCGGGCUUAAGUCCAUCCUCGAACUUAGCGCACCUUGACCUCUCAUUCCCAAUCUCAUUGUAAUGUGGGGCAUACCUCGCCAAUUCCUCGAACUUGGCGGCAUACUCUCCCACCGACAAACUCCCUUGUUGAAGCUUCAGGAAUUCCAUUUCCUUCUUCGUCUUCAUAUCAGCAGGGAAAUACUUCUCCAGAAACUUGUCCUUGAAUGUGGUCCAGCUGACCACCUGGUGCUCAUGCACCAUCUGCCCCCUGGUGAACUCCCACCAGUUAUCUGCUUCCUUACUCAGCAUGUAAGUAGCAUACGUAACCUUCUGUUCAUCGGUACACAUGAGUGCCUGGAAGAUUUUCUCCAGCUCUUGGAUCCAUUCAUUUGCAGCCUCAGGUGCAAAUCCUCCUUCAAAUCUUGGGGGUUGACGACGACAGAACUCGUCCAGCCCCUUAUACUGAGUCGACCCUUGAGACGACUGAGCCUGAUGCUGUUGCUGAUUCAGCUGGUGUAAAUUAGCAUUUACACCUUGGAUUGCCGCGGUCAUUAUGUGUUUUUGUCAAUCCUUAUCUUAUUGUGUUUUAACUAAAUUAUCAUUUAAACAUUAUAUUUUUGUUGUUCUUCCUUACUUUUUUUCUCACGUUAUAGACAUCUAUUAUUUUUAAUUAGAGUAUAAUCUCUAUACACUAUCAUUAUAAAGAUUUAUACACAUAUCACCAUUUAUUAUAACAUUUUUAUUUAAGAGUUAAUAAUAAUUAAAAAUAAAUUGUAAAUUAUACAAUGACAACGUAAAAAAUUGUUACAUUAUAGGCGCAUACAUCUUUUAAUUAAUUAGAUAUUAUUAUUAAAAAAUUUCAUAUACCAACACAAUGUUGAUCUAAUAAUAUAAAAACCUAAAUCUUCAAAAUGUCUAAAAAUCAAGAGUUCGAUUCUUGGAAACAAUGUUGAUUAGAGAGACACUUAUGCACCCAAAAUGAAUAGUUUGUUUAAGGAGAAAAGUUUUGGUAUAAACAAAAAAUUUUAUUUACGUGCUAUACCUUCAUUUCAAUUAAACAGCUCAACUUGUCCUCAAUAUCUGUUAUUUUCGCCGCCUUUCCUCACAAGGAUAGUCUUACGUCAAUCUAAGUUACAAAAAGAACUACACUAUAUAUAUCUCUUUUGCCUACAACAUUCUGAGGGUUUUUUAGAGUUGGGUUUUGUUUGGAGAUUUUUUAAUUUUAAAUCAAAUGAUUGAUAAAAAUUUAUAAAUAAAUAAGAAAUAGACUGAUAAAUUAUUAUAAAAUACACACUAUUAUUUCUUAUUUAUGUAUUUUCUUUCAAUUUCCAUAAAAAAGAAAUAUGUUUUUCUACCAUUAUUUAAAGUAAGGGUUCAAAAUAAAAUGUGAACUAUAUCCUUUUGUUAUAUAGUUUAUUAGAUGAUUAUCGUAAAAUGGAAUGUGAACUAAAAUUACAUGUCCAUUGAAAUAAAGGUUUCAAAGUGUCUUUCAUAGGAUUUUGAAGAUGAUUUGUUUCGUGAUGAGCAAAUAAAGUGAUUCAGAAGAGUUUGACAUAAAGCAAAACAAAAUUUGGUUGGAAUCUGCAGCAAUAAACUAAUGAAUAGAGCCAAAGCAUAGCAUCAUUCGAUUUGUGUUUAUGGCAGACAAGAGCAUGUACAUAAUGAACCUUGGCAAAAAAUGACAACAAAGACAAAGUCAUUGAAGAUAGUCCACGAUGUUAAGCCCACCUGCAUAAUUGAAGGGAUUAAGACUAUGUAAUUGCAUCUAACAUGUCUUUUUCUAUACACAUGAAGCUGACAUGCCACAUUUCCGUGAUGACAAGAAUUUGUAGCUAAAUUGUUACGAAAAUAUCAUAUAUUCACAAAGCUUUCAUUUAAUCCAUGUGAAAGGAGCUUAGAUAACUUAAACAUGAGGUUUUGUGUUAGAUCCAUGAACUCUUUUGCAUGAAAGAACACUAUUGGAAGGGGUAAGGGUCCCUAUUUAGGCAUAUGACCAUGCCCCAAAAAAUCAGAAAGGACACUGUAGGAUUAAAAAAAACUAUUCCUAAUUUAGGAGUGGGGUCGUUUAGCCUUCUUCAUUAGUGAGCUAAGUGAAUAUCAUAAGUGAGUUUGACACUAUAUCUUGACCCAAAACCUCAAGGCAUUAGGUUUAUGAGUCAUUUCAGUUAUAUGUUGUUCAACUUGCUUUACUUUCUUCAAUAUGAGACUUUAUUUGUCAUGACAAAAACUUGUAUCUUUUACUAUAGAUCUAAGGAGUUAAAGUGAAAAGUAAUAGGAAGAAUUGAGUCCAAGCUCAAAAGUCGAAACAAAAACAAGUCUCAUUAUCGAAUCAGGUAGACUACAAAGAGUCUAAUAAUUUACAAUGAACUUGUAAAUGUAAAAUUUUAAGACCAAACAAAGGUGAACUUUUACACAUUUUGACAAGCCUUUUCUCUCAUGAUUGAAAGCGGCAACUCUAUAUCAUAUUCUAGGUACUACUACCAAUGGUAAACUUCAGAAAAUUUGGGGAACCCAAACUAAAUACAAGAGUCCAUAUUAUAGAUAAU
rnacentral:lncRNA from 1 species